GGGGACGUGGCGGCGUGCCUAUACAUGCAGUCGAACGCUUUGUCUUUAAUUGAUCUGACGAGCUUGCUCUGAUUUGAUUUUAUCUGACAAAGAGUGGCGAACGGGUGAGUAACACGUGGGUAACCUACCUCUUAGCAGGGGAUAACAUUUGGAAACAAGUGCUAAUACCGUAUAAUACCAACAACCGCAUGGUUGUUGGUUGAAAGAUGGUUCUGCUAUCACUAAGAGAUGGACCCGCGGUGCAUUAGCUAGUUGGUAAGGUAACGGCUUACCAAGGCAAUGAUGCAUAGCCGAGUUGAGAGACUGAUCGGCCACAAUGGGACUGAGACACGGCCCAUACUCCUACGGGAGGCAGCAGUAGGGAAUCUUCCACAAUGGGCGCAAGCCUGAUGGAGCAACGCCGCGUGUGUGAUGAAGGGUUUCGGCUCGUAAAACACUGUUAUAAGAGAAGAACGGCACUGAGAGUAACUGUUCAGUGUGUGACGGUAUCUUACCAGAAAGGAACGGCUAAAUACGUGCCAGCAGCCGCGGUAAUACGUAUGUUCCAAGCGUUAUCCGGAUUUAUUGGGCGUAAAGCGAGCGCAGACGGUUAUUUAAGUCUGAAGUGAAAGCCCUCAGCUCAACUGAGGAAUGGCUUUGGAAACUGGAUGACUUGAGUGCAGUAGAGGAAAGUGGAACUCCAUGUGUAGCGGUGAAAUGCGUAGAUAUAUGGAAGAACACCAGUGGCGAAGGCGGCUUUCUGGACUGUAACUGACGUUGAGGCUCGAAAGUGUGGGUAGCAAACAGGAUUAGAUACCCUGGUAGUCCACACCGUAAACGAUGAGUGCUAGAUGUUCGAGGGUUUCCGCCCUUGAGUGUCGCAGCUAACGCAUUAAGCACUCCGCCUGGGGAGUACGACCGCAAGGUUGAAACUCAAAGGAAUUGACGGGGACCCGCACAAGCGGUGGAGCAUGUGGUUUAAUUCGAAGCAACGCGAAGAACCUUACCAGGUCUUGACAUCCCUUGCUAAUCCUAGAAAUAGGACGUUCCCUUCGGGGACAAGGUGACAGGUGGUGCAUGGUUGUCGUCAGCUCGUGUCGUGAGAUGUUUGGGUUAAGUCCCGCAACGAGCGCAACCCUUAUUAUUAGUUGCCAGCAUUCAGUUGGGCACUCUAAUGAGACUGCCGGUGACAACCCGAAGAAAAGGUGGGGGAUAAAUUCAAAUCAUCAAGGCCCCUUUUAACCUGGGGGUACACACC
rnacentral:rRNA from 1 species